CCUACGGGAGGCAGCAGUAGGGAAUAUUGGGCAAUGGAGGCAACUCUGACCCAGCCAUGCCGCGUGCAGGAUGAAGGCGUUAUGCGUUGUAAACUGCUUUUAUAUAGGAAGAAAUAGACCUUGCGAGGUAAGUUGACGGUACUAUAUGAAUAAGCACCGGCUAACUCCGUGCCAGCAGCCGCGGUAAUACGGAGGGUGCAAGCGUUGUCCGGAUUUAUUGGGUUUAAAGGGUGCGUAGGCGGUUUAUUAAGUCAGUGGUGAAAGACGGUCGCUCAACGAUUGCAGUGCCAUUGAUACUGGUAGACUUGAGUGGGAUUGAGGUAGCUGGAAUGGAUAGUGUAGCGGUGAAAUGCAUAGAUAUUAUCCAGAACACCAAUUGCGUAGGCAAGUUACUAAGUCUCAACUGACGCUGAGGCACGAAAGUGUGGGUAUCAAACAGGAUUAGAUACCCUGGUAGUCCACACUGUAAACGAUGAUAACUAACUGUUGGCUUUCGGGUCAGUGGUACAGAGAAAUCGUUAAGUUAUCCACCUGGGGAGUACGCCGGCAACGGUGAAACUCAAAUGAAUUGACGG
rnacentral:rRNA from 1 species